CCCCGCGUCCACGAUAAUGGAGACACUUGAUCAGUAGAUAAGCUUCGCGAAUAGCCAGUAAAAAUAGAUUUCUCAAGAUUUUCAUGUCUACUAGUUAUUUGUGGCUACGUACAAGCGAUGAUCAAACAAAUAGCCUUGAAAAUUGCUUAAUUCUGCCUUUCUCUCGUUGUUCAGUGCUAAUGGGAGGCUACAGCAAGCUGGAUUUCUCCUUCGUCUGGUACAAAACUCA
rnacentral:misc_RNA from 1 species